AGUUACUGGAGCCCGUUCUGCUGCUGGGC
rnacentral:piRNA from 1 species